ACCUAUCUCAGCUUCAGGAAAUGAGAGUAAUUGAUUGCGAGAACUUGGAAGAGAUUGUGAUUGAUCAAAGUGGAUUUGGAGAAGACAAUGUAGAAGUGGCCGAGUUCAGUCAAUUGCGUUCCCUGGAGCUAGAUAGUCUGCCACUGUUGAAAAGCUUUUGCUUCAAAGUGAAGGCGUCAACAAAUGAUGAUGGAGGAUCGAAUGAAAUUGUGUUAGAUGAGAUCCAUAAUCCACUACCACUUUUCGAUAAAACGGUGUUACUCCCCAAUAUUGAGGACCUGAGAGUAUGCUCCAUAGGUAAAAAGGAGAAACUCUUCCCUUCAAACUCAUCAAUGAGCACAACUAUUUUGGGCUGUCAAGAUUUGAAGUACUUAUUUACAACUUUAUUUUUCAAAAGCCCUUUGCCACUCAAGCGACUUGAGAUAAAUGAUUGUGAGUUUAUGGAAGGGAUGGUUCUCACAGACGAAUUUGCUGGACAAGAGACGAUGAAUAAGAUAAUCCUCUCUAAUCUACACCACCUAACUAUCUCAAAUCUUCCAAAUCUCACAAGAUUCUGUGAUGGGCAUUUAAUUGACUUUUGCUCUUUGACCAAGCUAUCAAUAGAGAAGUGCCCUGCAUUUAGGACUUUUGUCUCCAAUCCUCUUUGUGCAGACAUUAAGGUCAGCAAAAAACCCAAAGAAGUGGACUUGGAGAGAAACCAAGACACCACAUUUCCGCCUCUUUUUGAUGAAAAGGUGAAUCCCUCAUUUUUCUUUUCUUAUAAAACAAUCUACGUCAUUGUUAGUAUUCAAUUAUCCUCUUGAUCAGAUGGAAAAGAGUAGAAGGAAAGAUUCCACCUGCCUAAAUGCUGAAGUUUCCCCAAUAAACGUAAUAUGUUCUAUAUUUUUUACCCGUAACUAAACUCAUUAUUAACAAUUUGAAUAGCAUUGCAGGUUUCAUUUCCUAGCUUGAAGCUAAUGUGCAUUAUUAGCAUGAGUAACUUGGAAAGGACAUGGCACAGCCAACUCGCUGAAGGUUCCUUUUACAAACUAAAUUCAAUUUAUAUUCGGGAUUGUAAAAACAUAGAGACUCUUUUUCCAUCAAAUGACUUGGGAAGAUUCCGAAAAUUGGAGGGGUUGAAGUUAGUUGAUUGUCAUUCACUGCAAGAGAUAUAUCAACUGGAAGGGUUCAAUGCUGAAGAAACAAGUUCAGUCAUGUCAUUUGAUUUGAAACAUCUUUGUAUAUCUGGCCUCGAAGGAUUGAAACACAUAUGGAGUAAAGAUCCACAAGGAAUUCUUACCUUCCAAAAUCUGGAUUACAUAGAGGUUCUAAACUGUAAGAUUCUUAACAAUUUGUUUCCCUCCUCCAUAGCUAAAGAUCUUUUGCAACUUAAAAGGCUUGAAUUGGUCAAUUGUGGGAUAGAAGAGAUUGUUACAAAGGCAGAAGGUGUAGAAGAAGUCCCAUCUUUUGUGUUCCGUCAGCUAGUCUCCUUGAGACUUGAAGGCCUACCGAAAAUUAGGAAUUUUUAUCCAGGUACAUGUAGUUUGGAAUUCCCAAAAUUAAAAUAUUUGACAGUGCAUCGAUGUGGAAAAGGAAAAAAAUUUGCUUCGGAAUUCUUUAAUCUCCAAGAAAAAUAUAGAGAGAAGCAAUGCAACAACCCGAUUCAACAACCCAUGUCCUUGGUGGAAAAGGUUUUCUUCAGUUUGGAGAGGUUGUCUCUAGACGGUAAGAUGAUUGAGACGAUAUUGCAAUGCCAAUUGCCAAAAGGU
rnacentral:misc_RNA from 1 species